UAGUCCACGCCGUAAACGAUGAUAACUAGCUGUCCGAACCCACAGGGUUUGGGUGGCGCAGCUAACGCAUUAAGCAUUCCGCCUGGGGAGUACGGUCGCAAGAUUAAAACUCAAUGGAAUUGACGGGGGCCCGCACAAGCGGUGGAGCAUGUGGUUUAAUUCGAAGCAACGCGCAGAACCUUACCAACCCUUGACAUACUCGUCGUCGCUCCAGAGAUGGAGCUUUCAGCUAGGCUGGACGAGAUACAGGUGCUGCAUGGCUGCCGUCAGCUCGUGUCGUGAGAUGUUCGGUUAAGUCCGGCAACGAGCGCAACCCACAUCCUUAGUUGCCAGCAGUUCGGCUGGGCACUCUAGGGAAACUGCCCGUGAUAAGCGGGAGGAAGGUGUGGAUGACGUCAAGUCCUCAUGGCCCUUACGGGUUGGGCUACACACGUGCUACAAUGGCAGUGACAAUGGGUUAAUCCCAAAAAACUGUCUCAGUUCGGAUUGGGGUCUGCAACUCCG
rnacentral:rRNA from 1 species